UUUAAAGGGCUAAACUUUAGAAGUGGAUGGCGCAGUGGCUAAGAAUUUAUCUGCCACCGCAGGGGACAUGGGUUCCAUCCCUGGUCUGGGGGGAGAUUCCACAUGUUGCAGAGCAAUGGAGCCCACGUGCCACAGCUAGUGAGUCCACAUGCCUGGAGCCUGUGCUCCUCAACAAGAGAAGCCAUUGCCAUGAGAAGCCUGAGCACCGCAACUAGUUGGCCCUGCUCACUGCAACUAGAGAAAGCCCAAGCGAAGCAACGAAGAUCCAGCACAGCUAAACUGAAUUUUUUCUUAAAUCUUUUUUGAAGAAAAAAGUUAAACUUCAAGUAAGACUUAUCUUACAUAUGCUCGAAGUUGGGUAUAAAAGUCCUUUCAUGAUAAUGUUGAUGAUCUUAACAGUUUUUCUUUUGGUUUAAUCAGUAAUUAAAGCCUAGAGCAGAUACUUGACCCCACAAUAAACUGAUGCUUAGGAAGCAGGUCACCUCGAACUAUUCACCCUGUCCUUUCGCUAUUGUCAUCAAGGAUUGAAUGGGAUCGUAUCCUCAAUUUGCUUCUAGAUUGCUAUACUAUUCCAAAAAACUAUACCCUACUGCCCUUUGGGGUUCUAGGCGGACCUCACAAGAAUAGCUCCUCCAGCCAUAAGUAGGUACGGGUAUGCACAUAUUUGGGGAUGAUCAAAGUGCUCUCUCUGUUUUGUUCAUUUAAGUUUGAACCUCUGGUGAGGGCUUCUCUUGCCAGUUCUGUUACCAAAUCAUCAGAUCAGACUCAUCUGUGUUUUAUUUCUCUCCUUGGCCCUUUCUUUGGGAUUGAAACUGACUCCUUAACAACUCAGGUGCUUGGAGAGAGCACAUCUGGUGGCCCACGUGUUCUUGUUCUCUCUGAGGUGAAUGAUGAGAUGGUGCUGCAAGACGCUUGGAAGCAAAUUUCUUCAGAAGGAGCCGAGGCAACCAGGAUCCUCUUAGUUUCAGGUCCCAAGAGGUAUCUAUUGGCAACCCAAGUUGCCAACAGUUUGGGGUGGAGGAGUGCUUUGUUUUAGUAGAAACAGGGUCCAAGAGCAACUUUUCUGAAGAUCUUUCCAGUUUUGAUAACAUGCAAUGAAAGCUAUCUAUUUGUCCUUGU
ensembl:lncRNA